GUUGCUAGUAAUCGCGAAUCAGAAUGUCGCGGUGAAUACGUUCCCGGGCCUUGUACACACCGCCCGUCACACCAUGAGAGUUGGCAAUACCCAAAGUUCGUGAGCUAACCCGUAAGGGAGGCAGCGACCUAAGGUAGGGUCAGCGAUUGGGGUGAAGUCGUAACAAGGUAGCCGUAGGAGAACCUGCGGCUGGAUCACCUCCUUUCUAUGGAGA
rnacentral:rRNA from 1 species